GCGGGCAUAGUUUAGUGGUAAAACCUCUGCCUUCCAAGCAGAUGUCGACAGUUCGAUUCUGUCUGCCCGCACCA
rnacentral:tRNA from 1 species